rnacentral:lncRNA from 1 species
CGGGGAUGUCAUUCUACUAAACAAACCAAAAUAUAUCUUCAUAAUCUCAACUUAACAUUUCAGCAUAAGUUAAAGGUACAUUUAACCUUACAUCAAAAGUCUUACAUCAUACGCCUCUAAAAGUUCAGGUUUAUCACAAAAUACAUAUUUAAAACACUUCUCCCGAUUACAUAUACUACUACUAAAGUUUUAUUGCUAAUCCAACCAGGUCUAGCACUUCAGUUCACCACAUUUUUACCCUUGCCGGAAUAACCUUCUCCGGAAUCCUUUCCUGUAGAGUUAGUACAUGAAAAGAAAAGAUGAGCUCAUAAAGCUCAGCAAGCAUAUAUUGUACGAAUCAACUGAGUUUUAUUCACAAAGCUUUAAUUGAUAAAAUCAAUAAUUCCACAGAGUCAUCAAAACAGUUUCACACAUCGAGAUGAGUAUGAGUAUUCAAGCAUGUUCACAAGUUCACACAUUCUACUGUUGGGGAUCCCGGCCAGCUAAACAAUUGGUUUAGCUUUCCUUCCCGAAGGAAGUAUCACACUACUUCACAAAGGAAGCAUCACACACAGAACAAAUGUAAGAAUACUCAUUUCUCAUCAGAAAAUCAUCAAAACAAUGUUCGCCAAAACAUCAUAAAAUAUUACCAGUGAAGGGUACAGUAUAUACUUACAGUGUACAAUGUCCU